rnacentral:rRNA from 1 species
CGGCCCAGACUCCUACGGGAGGCAGCAGUGGGGAAUAUUGCACAAUGGGCGCAAGCCUGAUGCAGCGACGCCGCGUGAGGGAUGACGGCCUUCGGGUUGUAAACCUCUGUUAGCAGGGAAGAAGAGAGAUUGACGGUACCUGCAGAGAAAGCGCCGGCUAACUACGUGCCAGCAGCCGCGGUAAUACGUAGGGCGCGAGCGUUGUCCGGAAUUAUUGGGCGUAAAGGGCUUGUAGGCGGUUGGUCGCGUCUGCCGUGAAAUUCUCUGGCUUAACUGGGGGCGUGCGGUGGGUACGGGCUGACUUGAGUGCGGUAGGGGAGACUGGAACUCCUGGUGUAGCGGUGGAAUGCGCAGAUAUCAGGAAGAACACCGAUGGCGAAGGCAGGUUACUGGGCCGUUACUGACGCUGAGGAGCGAAAGCGUGGGGAGCGAACAGGAUUAGAUACCCUGGUAGUCCACGCUGUAAACGUUGGGCACUAGGUGUGAGGCUCCUUUCCGGGGGUUUUGCGCCGUAGCUAACGCAUUAAGUGCCCCGCCUGGGGAGUACGGCCGCAAGGCUAAAACUCAAAGGAAUUGACGGGGGCCCGCACAAGCGGCGGAGCAUGCGGAUUAAUUCGAUGCAACGCGAAGAACCUUACCAAGGCUUGACAUAUACUGGACCGCAUCAGAGAUGGUGUUUCCCUUCGGGGCUGGUAUACAGGUGGUGCAUGGUUGUCGUCAGCUCGUGUCGUGAGAUGUUGGGUUAAGUCCC